UUUACUAUGAUCAGUACCAUGAGAGACUAGACUAACAAAAUUCAAGUGUAUUUCGAUAAUGGAUGAGUACGGUUAAAUAUUUAUAGGAAUUGGUGGAAAGAUAACUCAUUAAUUAAUUAAUCAGGUCAAUUAAAACUGAUUCGAGUCAAAUUAUGCUGAUAUAUCUUAAUCCUUUCAAAUAUUCAGUUCGUAUCAAACUCAAAGAUGGUAGUUAAAAAUUGAGAGCCCCAUUUUAAGGUGAAGGAGUUACCCCAGUCGAUAAGAAGCUGCUGACCCAGAGUAUAAAUAUAUGGCAAUGUAGCAUUUCACUCCUUCACCACCUAGGAGACACCUGGCCUCAUCGCUUUAGAAAACGUAUUAGAUUUAUAUAGAAGAAGGGUUACACGGCACAACCUCCCGUAGGAAAGUAAAAAAUUAGAAGGAAAAAGGAAAAAAAGAGAUCAAAUUUGUUCAUUCUCUCCCAAAAUUCCCUUCUUUAUCUCCUCAAUUCCUUUGGAACAUCUCAGUGCCCCCAAAUUCAUAUUCCGUUUUUCUAAGACAAUAGAGCUCUGAUUAGACACCCACUUUCUAUCUCUUUCCAAACUGAUCUGCAAUUUUCUGUUUUGAAUAAGAAAAAGGUGAAAUUCUGUGCAAUUGUUGACGGAUGCAGAUGGCUUUUGAGGAAUCCUGGGUUUCUCUGAUAUUUGAUCAAGUUUAAUGGUCAAUUGGAUAUUCCGAUGGAUGUGAUGAUCUGGGUAUGCUAAAAGGAUCGACUUUCUGGGUUCAGUCUAUGUAAGAUUGUUAACGAUUGUGACCCCUUUUUCUGGGUUUUGAAGGAUGGCUGUCGAAUUGUGUUGCCUGGUUUAUUUUGAUCGGAUUAAUCUGACUUUUAUAAGCUAUCGUGGGUAUACGUGAAUAGGAGAUUGUCUUUUCAUGUCAAAA